UAACGCGAAGAACCUUACCUGGGCUUGACAUGUCCGUGACAGCUGUGGAAACACAGUCUCCCUUCGGGGCGCGGUCACAGGUGGUGCAUGGCUGUCGUCAGCUCGUGUCGUGAGAUGUUGGGUUAAGUCCCGCAACGAGCGCAACCCUCGUCGCAUGUUGCCAGCAUUAAGUUGGGGACUCAUGCGAGACUGCCGGUGACAAACCGGAGGAAGGCGGGGAUGACGUCAAGUCAUCAUGCCCCUUAUGUCCAGGGCUACACACGUGCUACAUUGGCGCAUACAAACGGCUGCGAUACCGCGAGGUGGAGCGAAUCCGAAAAAGUGCGUCUCGGUUCGGAUUGGAGGCUGAAACUCGCCUCCAUGAAGGCGGAGUUGCUAGUAAUCCCGAAUCAGCAACGUCGGGGUGAAUACGUUCCCGGGUCUUGUACACACCGA
rnacentral:rRNA from 1 species